rnacentral:rRNA from 1 species
GAUGAACGCUAGCGGCAGGCUUAAUACAUGCAAGUCGAGGGACAGCACAGGUAGCAAUACUGGGUGGUAACCGGCAAACGGGUGCGGAACACGUACACAACCUUCCUUUAAGUGGGGGAUAGCCCAGAGAAAUUUGGAUUAAUACCCCGUAAUAUAGUUGAAUGGCAUCAUUUGAUUAUUAUAGCUACGGCGCUUAAUGAUGGGUGUGCGGCUGAUUAGAUAGUUGGCGGGGUAACGGCCCACCAAGUCUACGAUCAGUAGCUGAUGUGAGCGCAUGAUCAGCCACACGGGCACUGAGAAACGGGCCCGACUCCUACGGGGGGCAGCAGUAAGGAAUAUUGGUCAAUGGACGCAAGUCUGAACCAGCCAUGCCGCGUGAAGGAUUAAGGUCCUCUGGAUUGUAAACUUCUUUUAUUUGGGACGAAAAAGGGCCUUUCUAGGUCAACUGACGGUACCAGAUGAAUAAGCACCGGCUAACUCCGUGCCAGCCGCCGCCGUAAUAC